rnacentral:lncRNA from 1 species
GGGUAGUAGAAGAAGAAUCCCCAAACGUGAGAGAGGAAGUAUCUGACUCCAUGUGUUCAAUCUCAAGACUCUUCACCAUCUCCAUUGAGAUCACAUUCACACUUGCACCGGAAUCAACAAGAGCAUCAUCAAAGGUGAGCUUACCAAGGGAGCAGGACAAGGUGAACUUCCCUUGGGAUUCUAGUUUAGGGAGAGACUUUGGUAUGAUGGUUGGAUCAAGUUUCAAAGUUGAAAUGUUGAGGAGCUCUGCUACUUCUGCUUGGUGGUCUACAAUGUCCUUGAUGAGCAUCAUUUGGACAUGAGCCUCACGCAUACCCGAGAUCUCUGGAAGCUUAACUCCAAUAUCACUUAAGUCUUUUCUGAACUUGGAAAUUACCUUCUUUUGAGCUUUGGUGAGGACCCUUUGUGGAAAUGGGAGCUUGUCAUAGGGUGACUGCUCAACCUCAGUGGUGUCCUCCAGCUUGACUUCUUUCAGCUUCCGGUUAGCUCUCUUCGCAACUGGUUUCUCAGCCAUGGGUGCAUCUCCCUUCAAAAUCUUUACUUCAACCAUUUUGUCAGCUUCCUUCACAAUCUUUGCUUCAGCUUUUGCUACAAUCAGAUGUUGAACCUGUUCAAUCUCAGUUCCAAACACCAAUCUUUCAAUUGGGUUUUUGCUCAGAUUUUCCAGGUAGAGACCCUUGCUGGCGAUUCUGGUGAGUGGUCAUGGAAGCAAACUGGUUUUCCAAAGCCAUGAACUUGUUGUUGAGCUCAUUGUAACUUCCAUCAAUCUUGGAGUGAAGGUUCUUCAACUCAUAUCCAACCUGCUUUUCACUUCUAGUCUGAGACUCCAAGAUCUGUUUCAGUAGAACAUCAGUGCUGCUUUCCUGAGGAGUAGAGGUAGAAGGAUUAGCUUGUUGUUGAAAAGACUGGUUCCCUUUGUUGGAGAAACCAGGAGGAGGGUUUUGCUGAGGCUGAUAGUUGCCUUGCUGGUUGUUCCUAGGCGGAUAACCACUAUGUUGGUUGUUAGGAUAUGAUUUUUGUUGGUAGUUGUUGUACUGAAAGUUGGGCUCUUUCUUGUACCAGCUACCAUUGUUGUUGAUGAAACACAACUCUUCUUGCCCUUCCAAACCCUCAACCUCAUGGACAACAGGUGGUGUCUCUUGGCUUGGGUUACCAACAAAGUGCAGCUGCUCUUGUUUGGCUUUAUCAGCAAGGAGGAUGUCUAUCUUAUCCUGGAGAGCUUUGAUCUCUUUCCUCGUCUGCUUAUCAUCACCCCUACUGCCCCUGUCGUGGUCUCCACUGUAUACUGCAUCACUCUUUACCAUGUUGUCAACCAGCUCUUCUGCAUCAUCUUCAGUUCUUCCCAAGAAGAACCCAUUGCUAGCUGUAUCCAGUCUGGCUCUGUACUUAGGAAGAGCACCACGGUAGAAUGUGCUCAGCAAGCUUUCUUUAGAGAAACCAUGGUGAGGGCAUUGAGCUUGGUAGCCCUUGAAUCUCUCCCAGGCUUCACUGAAUCCUUCCAAGCCCUUCUGUUGAAAGCUGGAGAUCUCAUUUCUCAGCUUAGCAGUUCUUGAGGAUGAGAAGAAUUUCUCCAAGAAUGCUCUCUUGCACUCAUCCCAAGUAGUGAUAGAGUCGCUGGGUAGAGACUUCUCCCACUGACGUGCGUUAUCCCCCAAAGAGAAAGGGAAUAGCUUGAGCUUUAAAGCAUCUUCGGACACACCAUUGGUUUUUGACAACCCAUAGUAGCUGUCGAACCUAUCCAAGUGAUCAAAUGGGUCCUCUAGAGCCAAGCCAUGAUACUUGUUGUUCUCGAUCACGUUGAGGAGUCCUGACUUGACCUCAAAGUUGUUGGCUGCCACAGCCGGUGCUCGGAUUCCCAGUCUAUAACCAUGAAUGUUGGGGCGGUCAUAAGUACCAAUGGGUCGAGCUACCCGCGGUUGGUGUUCUGCCCCUUGUUGUGGAUCUGCCAUAUCAACGUCCAAUUGUUGCUCUUCUUCUCUUCUAGCUCUAGCACACACUCUCUCUAAAGCUCUGAUGUCUGCUACUAUUGGAACUAGGUUUGAUGGACCCCUGCUCCUCAAGUUCAUACACCUGAAAGUUAAAAAGGUAGGUGAAGAAGAAGAGUCAGUAACAAAACAAAAUUUAAAAUGACUUAGUCUCAAGCAAGUGACUAAAUCUCAAUGUUUAAAUCUACUCAGAAUUUGGCAACGGCGCCAAUUUGGUGUUAGGAGUUUUCAAGGCUCCUAAGACAAAUGUUGUAGUAUAAAAGAUUGUCGAACCAGUUCUGAGAGAUAUGAAAGCACCGAGAAUGCAAGUACUCACUUAAUCUAAGUGCAACCAAUGAUUUAGAUGAGUUUUAAGCUAUGACUAAAACUAAAAAGCAAUAACAGAAUGAUACUUUCUUGACUAAGGAAAAAGAGAACUCAUGGGCAUAGGGAUUAGACCUUGGGUGAUCAAGAAACAACAUCAAAGCAAACAUGAUCAAAUACUUGGUACCUCCCCCAACUUAGAUGACACAGUCUCUGUGUUGUCAAGUAGAGAGAGAUACCCAAAAGAGAAAGCUAAUAUGCAAAAAUGAAAUGGUAUAUACAAGGGAAAGUAGAGAAGUACCUCAAGUGGAAAGUUGAGAAGGAGGAUCCUUCUCAAUGUAGGGGUCUCCACAAGUGAUGGUUCCACAAUACUCAACAUCCAGUGGAGACUGAAUUGGGUAAGAGACAGCUUUGUUGACAUUGAGGAGUGUGACCUUCUUGUUGGCGAAAUCGAUGCAAGCACCCACAGUAGUAAGGAAUGGUGUGCCCAGGAUCAAUGGAACUCUCUUCUCAGUUGCCAUCUUCAAGACAGUGAGGUCUAUAGGGAUGGUGCAAGAUCCAAUCUUCAAAGGGAAAUCCUUGAUGACACCAAUAGGGGUAGUAGAAGAAGAAUCCCUAAACGUGAGAGAGGAAGUAUCUGACUUCAUGUGUUCAAUCUCAAGACUCUUCACCAUCUCCAUUGAGAUCACAUUCACACUUGCACCGGAAUCAACAAGAGCAUCAUCAAAGGUGAGCUUACCAAGGGAGCAGGACAAGGUGAACUUCCCUUGGGAUUCUAGUUUAGGGAGAGACUUUGGUGUGAUGGCUGGAUCAAGUUUCAAAGUUGAAAUGUUGAGGAGCUCUGCUACUUCUGCUUGGUGGUCUACAAUGUCCUUGAUGAGCAUCAUUUGGACAUGAGCCUCACGCAUACCCGAGAUCUCUGGAAGCUUAACUCCAAUAUCACUUAAGUCUUUUCUGAACUUGG